GGGUUGUGAGGUUAAGCGACUAAGCGUACACGGUGGAUGCCCUGGCAGUCAGAGGCGAUGAAGGACGUGCUAAUCUGCGAUAAGCGUCGGUAAGGUGAUAUGAACCGUUAUAACCGGCGAUUUCCGAAUGGGGAAACCCAGUGUGAUUCGUCACACUAUCAUUAACUGAAUCCAUAGGUUAAUGAGGCGAACCGGGGGAACUGAAACAUCUAAGUACCCCGAGGAAAAGAAAUCAACCGAGAUUCCCCCAGUAGCGGCGAGCGAACGGGGAGCAGCCCAGAGCCUGAAUCAGUGUGUGUGUUAGUGGAAGCGUCUGGAAAGGCGCGCGAUACAGGGUGACAGCCCCGUACACAAAAAUGCACAUAUUGUGAGCUCGAUGAGUAGGGCGGGACACGUGGUAUCCUGUCUGAAUAUGGGGGGACCAUCCUCCAAGGCUAAAUACUCCUGACUGACCGAUAGUGAACCAGUACCGUGAGGGAAAGGCGAAAAGAACCCCGGCGAGGGGAGUGAAAAAGAACCUGAAACCGUGUACGUACAAGCAGUGGGAGCACGCUUAGGCGUGUGACUGCGUACCUUUUGUAUAAUGGGUCAGCGACUUAUAUUCUGUAGCAAGGUUAACCGAAUAGGGGAGCCGAAGGGAAACCGAGUCUUAACUGGGCGUUAAGUUGCAGGGUAUAGACCCGAAACCCGGUGAUCUAGCCAUGGGCAGGUUGAAGGUUGGGUAACACUAACUGGAGGACCGAACCGACUAAUGUUGAAAAAUUAGCGGAUGACUUGUGGCUGGGGGUGAAAGGCCAAUCAAACCGGGAGAUAGCUGGUUCUCCCCGAAAGCUAUUUAGGUAGCGCCUCGUGAAUUCAUCUCCGGGGGUAGAGCACUGUUUCGGCAAGGGGGUCAUCCCGACUUACCAACCCGAUGCAAACUGCGAAUACCGGAGAAUGUUAUCACGGGAGACACACGGCGGGUGCUAACGUCCGUCGUGAAGAGGGAAACAACCCAGACCGCCAGCUAAGGUCCCAAAGUCAUGGUUAAGUGGGAAACGAUGUGGGAAGGCCCAGACAGCCAGGAUGUUGGCUUAGAAGCAGCCAUCAUUUAAAGAAAGCGUAAUAGCUCACUGGUCGAGUCGGCCUGCGCGGAAGAUGUAACGGGGCUAAACCAUGCACCGAAGCUGCGGCAGCGACGCUUAUGCGUUGUUGGGUAGGGGAGCGUUCUGUAAGCCUGUGAAGGUGUGCUGUGAGGCAUGCUGGAGGUAUCAGAAGUGCGAAUGCUGACAUAAGUAACGAUAAAGCGGGUGAAAAGCCCGCUCGCCGGAAGACCAAGGGUUCCUGUCCAACGUUAAUCGGGGCAGGGUGAGUCGACCCCUAAGGCGAGGCCGAAAGGCGUAGUCGAUGGGAAACAGGUUAAUAUUCCUGUACUUGGUGUUACUGCGAAGGGGGGACGGAGAAGGCUAUGUUGGCCGGGCGACGGUUGUCCCGGUUUAAGCGUGUAGGCUGGUUUUCCAGGCAAAUCCGGAAAAUCAAGGCUGAGGCGUGAUGACGAGGCACUACGGUGCUGAAGCAACAAAUGCCCUGCUUCCAGGAAAAGCCUCUAAGCAUCAGGUAACAUCAAAUCGUACCCCAAACCGACACAGGUGGUCAGGUAGAGAAUACCAAGGCGCUUGAGAGAACUCGGGUGAAGGAACUAGGCAAAAUGGUGCCGUAACUUCGGGAGAAGGCACGCUGAUAUGUAGGUGAAGUCCCUUGCGGAUGGAGCUGAAAUCAGUCGAAGAUACCAGCUGGCUGCAACUGUUUAUUAAAAACACAGCACUGUGCAAACACGAAAGUGGACGUAUACGGUGUGACGCCUGCCCGGUGCCGGAAGGUUAAUUGAUGGGGUCAGCGCAAGCGAAGCUCUUGAUCGAAGCCCCGGUAAACGGCGGCCGUAACUAUAACGGUCCUAAGGUAGCGAAAUUCCUUGUCGGGUAAGUUCCGACCUGCACGAAUGGCGUAAUGAUGGCCAGGCUGUCUCCACCCGAGACUCAGUGAAAUUGAACUCGCUGUGAAGAUGCAGUGUACCCGCGGCAAGACGGAAAGACCCCGUGAACCUUUACUAUAGCUUGACACUGAACAUUGAGCCUUGAUGUGUAGGAUAGGUGGGAGGCUUUGAAGUGUGGACGCCAGUCUGCAUGGAGCCGACCUUGAAAUACCACCCUUUAAUGUUUGAUGUUCUAACGUUGACCCCUAAUCGGGGUUGCGGACAGUGUCUGGUGGGUAGUUUGACUGGGGCGGUCUCCUCCUAAAGAGUAACGGAGGAGCACGAAGGUUGGCUAAUCCUGGUCGGACAUCAGGAGGUUAGUGCAAUGGCAUAAGCCAGCUUGACUGCGAGCGUGACGGCGCGAGCAGGUGCGAAAGCAGGUCAUAGUGAUCCGGUGGUUCUGAAUGGAAGGGCCAUCGCUCAACGGAUAAAAGGUACUCCGGGGAUAACAGGCUGAUACCGCCCAAGAGUUCAUAUCGACGGCGGUGUUUGGCACCUCGAUGUCGGCUCAUCACAUCCUGGGGCUGAAGUAGGUCCCAAGGGUAUGGCUGUUCGCCAUUUAAAGUGGUACGCGAGCUGGGUUUAGAACGUCGUGAGACAGUUCGGUCCCUAUCUGCCGUGGGCGCUGGAGAACUGAGGGGGGCUGCUCCUAGUACGAGAGGACCGGAGUGGACGCAUCACUGGUGUUCGGGUUGUCAUGCCAAUGGCACUGCCCGGUAGCUAAAUGCGGAAGAGAUAAGUGCUGAAAGCAUCUAAGCACGAAACUUGCCCCGAGAUGAGUUCUCCCUGACUCCUUGAGAGUCCUGAAGGAACGUUGAAGACGACGACGUUGAUAGGCCGGGUGUGUAAGCGCAGCGAUGCGUUGAGCUAACCGGUACUAAUGAACCGUGAGGCUUAACCUUACAACGCCGAAGCUGUU
rnacentral:rRNA from 1 species